rnacentral:lncRNA from 1 species
AGCGGUGGUGGGAUGGUUUUCACUGAUAGUGACGUGCAAUACCAGGCUCCCAUCAGUGAUGCUUGCUUUCUGGGUUCUGAAAGAAAUGAGUUUGCUUCCCAACAACUUGUUUGCUACAGUAGCUACUUUCUGGUUCCAAAGUCUGGUAUCCCUCACCCUUGAAUGCCUUGAAGAGAUUGUAUUGGGUUACCUGCCCAUAAAUCAGUGCUGGGUAACUUACUGACGAAGGUUUAAAGCCUUCCAGACCUGAAAUUGAACAGAGGUACUAAGAAGACUUGU